rnacentral:rRNA from 1 species
GGCCAGCAGCCGCGGUAAUACGGAGGAUGCGAGCGUUAUCCGGAUUUAUUGGGUUUAAAGGGUGCGUAGGCGGAUUGAUAAGUCAGUGGUGAAAUACUGCAGCUUAACUGUAGAAUUGCCGUUGAUACUGUCAGUCUUGAGUAUGGUUAAGGUAGGCGGAAUGUGUAAUGUAGCGGUGAAAUGCUUAGAUAUUACACAGAACACCAAUUGCGAAGGCAGCUUACUGAGCCAAAACUGACGCUGAGGCACGAAAGCGUGGGGAGCGAACAGGAUUAGAUACCCUGGUAGUCCACGCCGUAAACGAUGAUCACUCGCUGUUAGCGAUACACAGUUAGCGGCUAAGCAAAAGCAUUAAGUGAUCCACCUGGGGAGUACGACCGCAAGGUUGAAACUCAAAGGAAUUGACGGGGGCCCGCACA